AGAUGGGGCAGUCUCUGGGGCCAAAGGGGACAGAGUCCAUGGACAAGCUGAGUCUUUCAAUAGCUUGAUAAUCAGUAGUUCUGAAUCAUGCGAAGAACUCUGCCAAUAAGUUUCUUCUUUUCCUAGAACAGAGUCUGUGAAAUUUAGCAGAGCCCUCUGCAAGCCCUGCACAUCUGGCUGUCAGACCAAAAGACAGUGAGCUUCCUAACCGGAGAGCAUAAUCCCACUUUAGGAAAUUCCGUUUACUGUUUCAACACCUGGGAAGACUCAGCAGCUUGCCGGGGCCAACAGGCAAUUCCCUUAAGCACAAGAGGAAUUUUUUCCAACCAAGGAGUCCCCUGCCUCUCAAACCAGUGCCCUCCAAGUUUGUUAUGCUUUCUAUUCCUGCAACGUGUGGUAUCAAAGCCACUUCCUGGAAUUGUAAAAGUGCUGCCAGAAUAACUGUUAUUCCCCUUCUAAGAAAAAAAUGGCAGUGCUUAUGUUUGACGCUUGUGCUGUGGACUCUUUUGAAUGAAUAAAAAGGAAAGGGUUUGGUGUAAUUCUGAUGGGGUGUGUGUUGUUUUUCAUGCCACCGUUUGUGAAUUGUAAUUGUGGUUUCCCAGUUCAUUGUCAUAACUGGGCAGAAAUUUUAAAAAAUCCAAUAAAAAUAUAAAGAAAUGGUUAAGCAGUUA